GGGAGCAUAGCUCAGUUGGUUAGAGCACUUGCCUUACAAGCAAGGGGUCACAGGUUCGAGUCCUGUUGUUCCCACCA
rnacentral:tRNA from 1 species